CUUCAGGGACCCCAGCCACAGCGGCUGCCCGUCCUCCUGACGCCCUUGCCCGUAGGUGGACAGCAGCGCAUGCGCUUC
rnacentral:antisense_RNA from 1 species